GCCCCCGUGGCGCAGCUGGAGAGCGCAGCGGGCUUCUACCCCGCCGGUCGCAGGUUCGAUCCCUGCCGGGGGCG
rnacentral:tRNA from 1 species